UUAACAGACUGAGCCACUCAGGUUCCCCAAAAUUUAUCUUUAACUUCUAAAAGAAAAAUAAAAAAAGGUCUGUGAGAUGUUCAAAAGCUAUCAACCUAGGAUGUUUUUAAAGUCAGAAUGGGAGUAGGAAGAGGUAUGAAAUAAUUCCUAUAGACCAAAGUAAACCAUUCUUAGGGCUUUUUGGGAGUCAGAGAGUUGCAUUUGUGAAAAGCUAUUUAAUAGCAGUAAAAAAGUAUUAGUAACACUUCCUCUUCUUCUUUCCCCAGGGCUCACCCACAUUUGUUGAUUUUUUUUUUUUUUCUGCCAAGAAUGGCUACAAUGCAGAAAAUUAGAAGAUCUUCCUUUCAGCUGGAACCGCCAUCUUCCAGUAAUUCGCCAAAAUGACCAACACAAAGGGAAAGAGGAGAGCAUUUUCCAAGUAUAGUAAACAAGCUU
rnacentral:lncRNA from 12 species